UACGUAGGUGGCAAGCGUUGUCCGGAUUUACUGGGCGUAAAGAGCGCGCAGGCGGUCGUUCAAGUCGCGUGUGAAAGCCCCCGGCUCAACUGGGGAGGGUCACGCGAUACUGAUCGACUGGAAGGCAGGAGAGGGUAGUGGAAUUCCCGGUGUAGUGGUGAAAUGCGCAGAUAUCAGGAGGAACACCGAUUGCGAAGGCAGCUCGCUGGGACGUCACUGACGCUGAGACGCGAAAGCGUGGGGAGCAAACAGG
rnacentral:rRNA from 1 species